rnacentral:rRNA from 1 species
AUGAACGCUGGCGGCGUGCCUAAUACAUGCAAGUCGAACGAGUUCUGAUUAUUGAAAGGUGCUUGCAUCUUGAUUUAAUUUUGAACGAGUGGCGGACGGGUGAGUAACACGUGGGUAACCUGCCCUUAAGUGGGGGAUAACAUUUGGAAACAGAUGCUAAUACCGCAUAAAUCCAAGAACCGCAUGGUUCUUGGCUGAAAGAUGGCGUAAGCUAUCGCUUUUGGAUGGACCCGCGGCGUAUUAGCUAGUUGGUGAGGUAACGGCUCACCAAGGCAAUGAUACGUAGCCGAACUGAGAGGUUGAUCGGCCACAUUGGGACUGAGACACGGCCCAAACUCCUACGGGAGGCAGCAGUAGGGAAUCUUCCACAAUGGACGCAAGUCUGAUGGAGCAACGCCGCGUGAGUGAAGAAGGCUUUCGGGUCGUAAAACUCUGUUGUUGGAGAAGAAUGGUCGGCAGAGUAACUGUUGUCGGCGUGACGGUAUCCAACCAGAAAGCCACGGCUAACUACGUGCCAGCAGCCGCGGUAAUACGUAGGUGGCAAGCGUUAUCCGGAUUUAUUGGGCGUAAAGCGAGCGCAGGCGGUUUUUUAAGUCUGAUGUGAAAGCCCUCGGCUUAACCGAGGAAGUGCAUCGGAAACUGGGAAACUUGAGUGCAGAAGAGGACAGUGGAACUCCAUGUGUAGCGGUGAAAUGCGUAGAUAUAUGGAAGAACACCAGUGGCGAAGGCGGCUGUCUGGUCUGUAACUGACGCUGAGGCUCGAAAGCAUGGGUAGCGAACAGGAUUAGAUACCCUGGUAGUCCAUGCCGUAAACGAUGAAUGCUAGGUGUUGGAGGGUUUCCGCCCUUCAGUGCCGCAGCUAACGCAUUAAGCAUUCCGCCUGGGGAGUACGACCGCAAGGUUGAAACUCAAAGGAGUUGACGGGGGCCCGCACAAGCGGUGGAGCAUGUGGUUUAAUUCGAAGCAACGCGAAGAACCUUACCAGGUCUUGACAUCUUUUGAUCACCUGAGAGAUCAGGUUUCCCCUUCGGGGGCAAAAUGACAGGUGGUGCAUGGUUGUCGUCGGCUCGUGUCGUGAGAUGUUGGGUUAAGUCCCGCAACGAGCGCAACCCUUAUGACUAGUUGCCAGCAUUUAGUUGGGCACUCUAGUAAGACUGCCGGUGACAAACCGGAGGAAGGUGGGGAUGACGUCAAAUCAUCAUGCCCCUUAUGACCUGGGCUACACACGUGCUACAAUGGAUGGUACAACGAGUUGCGAGACCGCGAGGUCAAGCUAAUCUCUUAAAGCCAUUCUCAGUUCGGACUGUAGGCUGCAACUCGCCUACACGAAGUCGGAAUCGCUAGUAAUCGCGGAUCAGCACGCCGCGGUGAAUACGUUCCCGGGCCUUGUACACACCGCCCGUCACACCAUGAGAGUUUGUAACACCCGAAGCCGGUGGCGUAACCCUUUUAGGGAGCGAGCCGUCUAAGGUGGGACAAAUGAUUAGGGUG